UUGUGGACCGACACUUAUGUAAUACGUAAGUUUUGAGGUCAACUUUCAAGUUCAAUAAAUAGAGGAGUUAGCGAUCUAGUGUAUAGUAUAAAUGGAUGCAUCCAAAAGCAUAACCGCGCAGUGAGUUUUCGAUAUAAUUGGUCCUUGUCCUUAGAUCUUCGUUAAAUCUAAGUAUAGAAACCAAUCAUAAUGAAGAAUCACUGAGCUGUUCACUGCACGGUUGCGCUUCUGGCUGCACCCAAUGUCUAUGGUUGCAUUCCGAUAUUCACUGUAAGUACUGGCAGCACUGCGAAUGCUGUUCCGGGGUGCGUUCCUUUAUUCACUCCGAGUACUAUCAGUAUUACGAAUAGCGUCCCGAUAUAGAGAGCAGUGCACUAUGAAAGUACUGCCACAGUAUAUACAGUAUAUACAGUAGCGUAACUCUCCCAAUUUUAAUGUGUACAAAAUUGAACUGCACAUGUGCGAGCUAAUAUGAAAAGAGGUGUACAUGACUCUCGAGGCUCGUCGAUAAUGAGUAAAGCUUGGGAGUCUAAGAACAUGGAAGAGGUAAAUAUAGAAACUUUAGUGGUUGAGUUACCAGAUGGCGUCGCGCGUGCUAUGAAUUGUGAAAGUUGCAUGUGUGCGUAUGCUGUGGGUGUGUGUGUAUAUGUGUGUGUGUUCCUACACGAUUCUCCUGAAUACUAUGUACGCAUAGGCGCGAAUUAUUUGUAUUAUCACAAGUUUUUUGUACUAGUGGAUGCAAAGUGUACUUUUUUGGUAUGACAGAUUUUCUUUGGCAUAUUUGUCACAGCUGCGUUCUCCGUUGGUUCCUGCUGGAGUCCCCCAGGAGUGUCAUCGUCCUCGUUAGGUAGGUACGCAGGUUUUAAUCUUUCCGUUGACAGGGUUGACUCGGUUGUUGACACUACAUAUAUGUUCGUCCUUCCUGUGAACUACUGCGUGGAGUUUGGUAUAUGACUGUUGGAAUUUUCGGACGCCGUCUUCUUUCACAAAUAUGUGCGUAGCCUGGUCCAAGUUUGGAUGUUUGAAGACUGCUCGUUUACUGUGAUAAAGUUGUCGGUUGUGGACAAAGUUGUCGAAUGCGCUCGCGUAACAUCAUAAUGAAUGUUUCAGUGUCUUCGAUUGGAUCCAGAUUUUCUAGGAAUUCUCCAGGUACUCUUAGUGGUGCGCCGUAUACCAGUUCGGCUGGAGAGCAAUUUAAGUCUUUCUUAAGGCAAGUACGAAGGCCCAACAUCACUGUGGGUAGGAUGUCUAGCCAUUUGCGUCCGUCAUCGUGGCACAUUAUGGCGGUUUUUAAUGUGCGGUGUCAUCUCUCCACUAUUCCGUUUGAGGCUGGGUGGAUACAGAGAUGUUCUUGUCUUCGCACUGCCCAAGAAUUUUGAUAAUGCCUGAAAGACGUUAGAUUCAAAUUGUUUCCCUUGGUCAUUCGUGAAGACCGCAGGUGUGCCGAAUCGUGCGAUCCAAUUAUCCACGAAAACUGCAGCGAGCAGCAAAACUGCAGUUUGAGCGUUCAUAUUGGGAAGUAAAAUUGCUUCCAGCCACCUAGAAAAACGAUCUAUUAGCGUUAAGCAAUACUUGUAUCCUCUUACUUCUGGUAGAGGGCCGAUCAGAUCUAAAUGUUUAGUGGAAGCUUGAUUCGGCACUGGGAUCUUUUGGGAUAUGUCUCUGGAUUUUGCUGCAUUGGCAAUGUAAGCACGUCCGUGCUCAGCGACUAUGCGACUUUAUUAAUGUCAGGCCAGACAAACUUUUGUCUAAUUUGAUGGCUGGUAGCUUUGCCGCUGGGUGUAUGGUGUCGAAAACUCUUUUUUUGAGUUUUUCCGGAACAUAAGGCCGGAUCGCUCCUCUAGAACAAUCACAAUAUAAUGGAAGUGUGGUUCCGGGGAGUGUGAAUUCUUUCAAUUCCAAUAUUGUGUCGUUUCUUAAGAGUUGCUGCAUUUGUUCGUCGUUAGCUUGUGCAGUUGCUAGUUCUUUCGUGAUGACUAUCACUGGCAUGUCUAUGGCGUUGAUGCGUGAUAGUGUAUCAAGCACGAUGUUUCCUCCACCGGGUAUGAACUUAAUGUUUAUCGUGAAUUGCGAUAAAGUCCAAUUGUCGAGCUCGGCGUGGAGACGCUUUAUCCAUGCGUUGCCUAAACGCGCUAUAUGAGGAGUUUAUGGUCCGUUUUAAUGAUGAUUGAGCGUCUUAGCUUGAUGCUAGAUCUCUAGUAGUUCACGAUCAUAUGCGCUGUACUUUUUCUGCGUAUCGCUAAGUUUUUUUCGAGAAAAAUGCUAUCGGCGAUAGCUGAUUGUUAUUUACCUGCUCUAGGGAGGCUCCUAUGGCAGUCUGAAGCGUCUAUAGAGAGGAAUAGUAUUGCUUUUUCCAUAGGAUGUGCCAACAUUGUAACGUGUGCCAGUUCAGUUCUGCAGGCUUUAAAGGCAUUUAUGGAUCUUGUUGAUCAAGGCACUGGUCUCUUGUCGUUUCUUUGGCUGUCCUUCAAUAGUUCAUUGAGUGGUGCUUGAUUUGCUGCAGUUUGUUUCAAGUGAUGAUAGUAAUAAUUUAACAUGCCUAGGAAUCUACGGAGUUGGAUUAAUGUUUCAGGUCGUGGGAAAUCUAAUAUGAUUUUUACCUUGCCUGCCAGUAGUUUGAUACCUUCGCUGGUUACUUAGUGUCCCAGGAAUUUUAUCUUAGGUUUAUAUUUUCUAACAGUAAAUAUAAAAUAUAUU
rnacentral:lncRNA from 1 species